AGGGCGCACGGUGGAUGCCUUGGCAGAGAUAGGCGAUGAAGGACGUGGCAAGCUGCGAUAAGCUUCGGUAAGCCGCACACAGGCGUUAUAACCGGAGAUUUCCGAAUGGGGCAACCCUCCUAGGCAAACCCUAGGAACUACCUGCUGAAUACAUAGGCAGGUUAGAGCGAACUCAGGGAAGUGAACCAUCUCAGUACCUGAAGGAAAAGAAAGAAACCUCGAUUCCGAUAGUAGUGGCGAGCGAACUCGGAUGAGCCCAAACCCGUAGCAUUUCGGUGCUUCGGGGGUUGUAGGGUCCGCAACAGUAGAGUUACCAAUCUGGUCGAUAGCCGAACCUUCUGGAAAGUUGGUCCAUAGAGCGUGACAGGCGCGUAGGCGAAAUUGAUCCAGACUCGAAGCGGAUACCUGAGUAAGGCGGGGCACGUGAAACCCUGCUUGAAUCCACGGGGACCAUCCCGUAAGGCUAAAUACUAAUCUCUGACCGAUAGUGAACCAGUACCGUGAGGGAAAGGCGAAAAGAACCCCGUCGAGGGGAGUGCAAAGUACCUGAAACCGUGUGCCUACAAGCAGUGGGAGGGCUAUGGCAGCAAUGCAAUGCCUGACCGCGUGCCUAUUGCAUAAUGAGCCGGCUAGUGAUUCUUGUCAGCAAGGUUAAGCGAAAGCGAGCCGCAGCGAAAGCGAGUCUUAAUAGGGCGUUCAGUUGGCAGGAAUCGACGUGAAGCGGGAUGAUCUACCCAUGGCCAGGAUGAAGGUGCGGUAACACGCACUGGAGGUCCGAACCGGUGUUUGUUGAAAAAAGCUCGGAUGAGCUGUGGGUAGGGGUGAAAGGCUAAUCAAAUUCCGUGAUAGCUCGUUCUCUCCGAAAUAGCUUUAGGGCUAGCCUCGGAUGAUUUGCACUGGUGGUAGAGAGAUGGAUGGACUAGGGGGCUUUCCGGCUUACUGAAUCCAACCAAACUACGAAUGCCAGUGACAACCAGUCCGGGAGUCAGACGGUGGGGGCUAAGCCUCAUCGUCGAGAGGGAAACAGCCCAGACCGCCUGCUAAGGUCCCCAAGUUACAGUUAAGUGGGAAAGGAAGUCGGAACGCUCAGACAGCCAGGAGGUUGGCUUAGAAGCAGCCAUCCUUUAAAGAAAGCGUAAUAGCUCACUGGUCAAGCGGUCCGGUGCCGACAAUACAACGGGGCUAAAACUGUACACCGA
rnacentral:rRNA from 1 species